UACAGAGGUCCCAAGCGUUACUGAGAAUCACUGGGUUUAAAGGGUGCGUAGGUGGUCCGUUAAGUCAGUUGUGAAAUCCCCGGGCUCAACCCGGGAAAUGCUUCUGAUACUGGCGGACUUGAGGCCAGUAGGGGUCACUAGAACUGACGGUGGAGCGGUGAAAUGCGUAGAUAUCGGGAGGAACACCUGUGGCGAAAGCGGCUCACUGGACCAUAACUGACGCUGAUGCACGAAAGCUGGGGGAGCAAACAGG
rnacentral:rRNA from 1 species